GCUCGGCCACCCUUAUGGAGGGACCCCACUGCCGCCCCAUGGCCUCGGGGACCGAACACCCAAGGCUUGCGGGAGAACGACGGCGCCAACCAGGACCCCCGAGGGGCGGGCGACCCUGAGCAGAGCAACCCACGGCUGGACGCAAGAGGUACAAGUACCGGCUUCCUCAUCGUGCCCGAUUGGCUAAACUCCACUGACUCCCACCCGAUUGGCUGGGCAUAGCCCCGAAUCCUGAUUGGCUACUAAGUCCGAUUCCUUCCUGUCCCCGCCCUCCUUGGGUUGUUCAACCUGUGGGAUUUUAGAAGCAGCUGUGCCCUAGGACCAGCCCUGGGAGAAUGACAGACGUGUGGCGUCACGAGGGAAUGAGAUCAGUACUGAAGCCCAAGAAUGAGAGAUCCUACCAGGAGUAUGUUAUCCCCACCACCUCCCAUGGGAAGCAGGAAUACCCUGAAGCGAGUUCCAUCCUCUGCCAAGAAGCAUCAUCGCAAUUUCCAAUUUCAAGGAAACUACCUCUGACUUUUUAUUAAAGGGAAAACCAAUAAAGAUAACUUAUCCUAAACCAUCUCCUAGCCUUUCAUCUUUCCUACCAGGGUAGGUUAAGACUACGAAAAUCCAAUUUUGCAAGUGGCAUUACGGAAAUGGAAUGCUAGAAAAAUAAUGCUUGUAGCCCUCAUGGGGCUACUGCUUUCGAACUGGGAGAUCACUGACGUAAGGGAGGUGGCCUCCAAGGGAAGAGCUCUACAGAAAGUCCUUGUGCAAAAGUUUUCUCCAGCUUAUUUCUGGAACAGGCAAGGACAAUUUCAUACCAAAAAGAAAAAAAUCUGGAAAAGCUACAGAUGUUGACCUUUACUUUAAACACCAAUAGAUAACCAAUAAGGAGGAAAAGAUAUAAGAAAAUAACAGCUCAUAAAUAGAGAAAUCAAUUAAUUUUAAAUCCCACUGAAAGUGUCUCCUACAUUCACUGAGAUGCCAAGUCACCCGAUGUGUACAUCCUCACAAACCCUCUGAGAGCUCUGUCCUGUGCCCUCCUAUU